rnacentral:rRNA from 1 species
AAGGAUCAUUACCUAGAGUUGAUUCGAGCUCCGGCUCCGACUCUCCCACCCUAUGUGUACCUACCUCCUGUUGCUUUGGCGGGCCGCGGUCCUCCGCACCGGCGCCCUUCGGGGGGCUGGCCAGCGCCCGCCAGAGGACCAUAAAACUCCAGUCAGUGAACUUCGCAGUCUGAAAAACAAGUUAAUAAACUAAAACUUUCAACAACGGAUCUCUUGGUUCUGGCAUCGAUGAAGAACGCAGCGAAAUGCGAUAAGUAAUGUGAAUUGCAGAAUUCAGUGAAUCAUCGAAUCUUUGAACGCACAUUGCGCCCCUUGGUAUUCCGAGGGGCAUGCCUGUUCGAGCGUCAUUUCAACCCUCAAGCUCUGCUUGGUAUUGGGCCCCCUCCUCCACGGACGCGCCUUAAAGACCUCGGCGGUGGCGUCUUGCCUCAAGCGUAGUAGAAAACACCUCGCUUUGGAAGCGCACGGCGUCGCCCGCCGGACGAAACCUUUUGAAAUUAUUUCUCAAAGGUGGACCUUCGGAUCAGGAAGGGAUACCCGCUGAACUUAA